rnacentral:lncRNA from 1 species
AAGAGCCAGAAAGAACACAUCUUUGUGAAGAAGCUUAUUUAGAGAAUUAACAACAUUCUUCCACCAACCAGAAAUCAGAGCUGGGCAAGACUGGGGCUGAAGGAUUGACUACUUCUCCUGGGCUACUACUCAGAAGAACUAGCCCCCCAACUUGACACUAUUCACACCUGCCACCUCAGCAGCUACAGCAGGAGAACAUGUCCCCAGGCUGAAUUUAGAAAAGAAGUGAAACUUCUGUUCGUUAGUACUCACCUUGGUGUUCUGAGUCUAAACAUGAGACUGGUCCAUUACUCUUUAAGGUAUUUUUAAGGUUCUUUUUAUC